UACGUAGGUGGCAAGCGUUGUCCGGAUUUACUGGGCGUAAAGAGCGCGCAGGCGGUCGUUCAAGUCGCGUGUGAAAGCCCCCGGCUCAACUGGGGAGGGUCACGCGAUACUGAUCGACUGGAAGGCAGGAGAGGGUAGUGGAAUUCCCGGUGUAGUGGUGAAAUGCGUAGAUAUCGGGAGGAACACCCGUAGCGAAGGCGGCCGACUGGACCACACCUGACGCUGAGGCGCGAAGGCCAGGGGAGCGAACGGG
rnacentral:rRNA from 1 species